rnacentral:tRNA from 1 species
GGGGGCGUAGCUCAGUGGGAGAGCACCUGCUUUGCAAGCAGGGGGUCGCCGGUUCGAAUCCGGUCGCCUCCACCA